GAAGCUCACGUGGAGUAUUUAGGACAUAUUAUUACAGAUGAAGGGGUGUCUACAAAUCCUAACAAGAUUAAAGCUAUGGUGGAUUGGCCUAGACCUAAGUCAUUAGGAGCUUAAGAGGAUUUUUGGGAUUAACCGGUUACUAUCGUAAGUAUGUGUAGAAUUAUGGAACUAUCAGCAGGCCACUCAUAGAUUUGUUAGGUAAAGAGGCUUUUAAAUGGAGUGUGGAUGUCGAGACUGCUUUCGAAAACCUUAAAGUAGCUAUGAACACUACGCCUGUAUUGACUCUUCCUGAUUAUACACAUGAAUUUGUGGUUGAAACCGAUGCCAUUCAUGGGGGUAUUGGAGUUGUAAUUAUGCAGCAAGGAAGGCUGAUAGCUUUCUUUAGCAAUUUUUUGGCUACUAAACAUCGGGGCAAGUCGAUAUACGAGAAGGAAUAUAUGGCUUUACUCAAUGCAGUAGAUAAAUUGAGACAUUAUUUGCAGUUCAAACACUUUGUGGUUAAGACUGAUCACCAUAGUUUGAAGUACUUUUUGGAAUAGCAGGUCACUUUGUCUAUUCAACGGAAGGGGUUAAUUAAUUACUCGGUCUUGAUUAUGAGGUGCGAUACAAAAAGGGAACAGAGAAUCGAGUAGCGGAUGCUCUAUCUAGAAGACAAGAAGGUCUACAGAGCGAUGAAAAUCAAUCCACAGGUCUGCUUAUGGUUGUAAGUGUGAUCACACCUACGUGGAUACAAGAGAUUAUGCAUAGUUAUAAUGAGGAUACAUACGUUCAAGAGUUGAUUACACUGUUAUCAGUAAAUGUGCAUGGGCCUAGUUUAUGGCAUAACGUUAAUGGUGUGUUAAGGAAGAAAGGCAAGGUUUAUGUGGGAUCUACAGGACCUUUACGACAACAACUCAUAUCUACUUUUCAUGAUACUCCUUUAGGAGGACAUUCGGGUCAAUUGGGCACCUUCAAAAGGUUGGCUCAUUAUUUCUAUUGGCCUAAGAUGAGAUCUAUGGUGAAUGACUAUUUAGCUCAUUGUGAGAUUUGCCAUCGUAAUAAGGACGAUAAUGCAGCAUAUCCGGGUCUACUCCAACCAUUGUCGAUUCCUAAUCAAGCUUGGAGUAAUAUAAGUAUGGACUUUAUUGAGGGUUUACCAAAGUCGAAAUCUAAGGAUGUUCUUAGUAGUGGUCGAUCGAUUUACGAAGUAUGCUCAUUUUAUAGCCUUGGCUCAUCCAUAUACUGCAGCAACCGUGGCUGAAUUGUAUUAAAGACAAAUCCACCGAUUAAAUACUACUCCUGACUAUAUUGUUUUAGAUCGAGAUAAGGUCUUCUUAAGUCGAUUUCGGCAGGAGAUGUUCAAACUUUUGGGGAAUCAAUUGCACUAUAGUUCAGCCUAUCAUCCUUAGAGUGAUGGUCAAACUGAAAGAGUCAAUAUGUGCGUUGAAAUUAUCUUCGAUGUAUGACUGCAAGUCGUCCUACACAAUGGAAACAAUGGUUAUCGACUGUGGAAUGGUGGUAUAAUACGAAUUUUCACAUAGGUCUGCAGUGUACUCCAUUCGAAGCAUUGUAUGGUUAUACUCCCCCUCAACUUUCCAUUGGUCCUCUUUUGGAAACAAUGGUACAAGUUGCAGAGGAUGUUGUGAUGCACAGGCGACAGUUCCUUCAAUUGUUGAAAGACAAUUUAACUACUACCCAAGCUAGAAUGAAGUUUUUUGCUGAUGGAAACAAAACUGAGCAUAAGUUUUCGGUCGGAGAUUGGGUAUACUUAAAACUGCAAUCAUAUGGUUAGAUGUCCGUUGCAUUGAGAAAGAAUUUGAAGCUUACUUCUAAGUAUUAUGGUCCUUACUUGAUAACAGAAAGGAUUGGGUUAGUGACUUAUAAAUUAGGUCUUUUAUCUACUUCAAAGAUUCAUAUGAUAUUUCAUGUUUCGUUGUUGAAGAAGAAAGUAGGCAAUCGUGUGGUAGUUCAAUAUGAAUUACCUUAUACGAACGAUGAAGGAAAUUUUUUGGUUAAGACGGUGACAAUUUUGCAGCUCCAGAUGGUAAAAAGGAAAAAUGCAGCUAUGGUGCGAGUUUUGGUUCAGUGGUCUAAUCUUCCACCGGAGGAUGCUACGUGGGAAGAUUACGAUUUUUUACGCGCUAAGUUCCCUGGUUUUGAUUCUCAUCCUUGAGGUCAAGGAUGUAUUGAUGGAGAAGGGAAUGUUAUGAAUUAAAAUAUAGAAGUGGUUCUGUGGGGAAUCGAUCCGUGAAGAGUCUAGUGAAAAGAUCAGAUAUUGAUAUAUUGUAAUGCUGGGAUUAAAAGCAAGUUGAUGAGAAUUUGUGAUCCGGAUGAUGCCACGUGGAGUUGGUUAGGAAGUUCUUAUAAAAUGGUAGUUAGAGGAGAGAUAAGGAACUAACUUUUGGAAACGCAAUUUGUUCCCAUUUCUGUUUCUACUUCUCUUAUUCUUAUUCUUCGAUCUUCUUCAAUUUCCUGUUUCUCUUCUUCUCAAUCUCACCCUUUCUUCUUUACUGUAAUUCAAUAAUGUCUGCUCAGUAGUUACUUAGCUUUGGUUUGUUGUAAUCGAGAAAAUCUAGAAUCAAUAAGUUGCGAUUUGAUUUUUAGAUUUUCUUUGAAUUGUUUUGACUGAAAUUUGUGAUCUCAGAGAGAUCAUAACAUCAUAUUGUUAUCUAUAGAUGUAGAACAAGUCAAGAUUCAUAAGAAAGAUAAGACCCAAGUUUAAUAGAGCUUCCAAGAGGGAAUGAGAAGAGCUAGGGCAUUCACUGCCGCUACACGCUAUGUCUCUUAGGAGGAGGUCUUCAAACUACAAAAGUUUCAAUUGAUGAAUGAGGAAUGAUGAAGGUUACUGAAGCUUUCAUUGUAUUAGAGUUUGUGUAGUCUCUUGAAUUCGAGAUCUGCUAGGAUGGCGAUUGGAAAUGAUAAAACUGAGCAUGUCGGUGCUUCAAUGCGUUCUCACACUGUGGUUUCAAACACAGUCGCAAUUGAUCAGCAUCAUCCAUUGUUUCUUCAACCCAAUGAUACUCCAGGUAAAUCCUUGAUCUCUGUUAAGCUCACUGGUUCUGAAAAUCAUGCAUUAUGGAGUAUUCUAUGAAAAUCAGUAUGUUAUGUAAGAGAAAAUUGGGGCUUGUUGAUCACCAUUCUAGAUACACUUGGAUUUUCUUGCUACCUAUGUAAUUGCUCCCUAAGAGUUUUCUGCUUAUGGUAAAAACUUUAUAUGAUGUCUCGGUGAAAUAUCUUAGAACUGAGUUUUUCAGCUCUUCUAUUGCUGAGUUCAUUCAUUUCUUAGGCAUUAUUCAUCAAAGUUCUUUUGCCUACAACUCUCAGCAAAGUGGUGUUGCUGAGAAAAUACAUAGACGCAUUUUGAAUAUUGUUUGAGCCCUUAGGUUUCAAGCAUCUGUACCCUUGAGAUUCCAGGGUGAGUGUGUCUCCGCAGCUGUGUAUUUGAUAAAUAGGUUACCUAGUGAUGUGUUGUCUGAUCAAACACCUUUUACUGUGUUACAUAAGACACCUUCCAAGUAUGAUCAUCACAAGGUGUUCUGGUGUCUUGGAUAUGCGAAUGUCUUGAGUUUUAUCCCAAGGCUGUCUCUGCAGUAUUUCUUGGCUACUCUAUGACACAAAAGGGUAUAAAAUGUUUCUUAUUCACUCUAGAAAGUUCAUGUUCAAUUCAAGAAGAUGUGUUUCCGUUUCCAACUAUGGAUACUCCCCUUUCAUCUCUAUUUCAGUGCUACCACAGACAGUUGAUACAACCCCUACCAACAUCGGAACUGUCUUUAUUCCUAGUAAUGAGGUCACUCCUCUUGUCCAACUGAUCAGUGUGACAAUGGUCCCUCUCUAUCUUGUGAAGUUACUCCUGGUACCAGUAUUCCUGAAUUAGCUGGUGAGAGUGCCAGACCUUUAAAAGGAAGGAAAUCUACUAGAACCAUCAAAUCACUUAAUUGGCUAAGAUUCUGUUACCAAGGGUACAACUCCAACCAUCUGCUGCUAUCUCAUUAUAUACUACAUCAACUAUGACAUUCUCCUUUAUUUGGAACAACCCUCAGUACCUAUUCUAAUAUUCCAGAGCCCUCUACUUAUAACAAUGAGAGAUGAAAAUGGUAGCAGCCAUGAAGUCAAAAAUUUCUGCAUUAGAAGAGAACUACACUUGGAGUAUAGUAAAUCUUCCACCAGGAAAAAGUCCUAUUGGCUGAAAAUGGGUUUUCAAAGUGAAGUAUAUAACUUCAGGAGAGGUUGAGGAGUAUAAUGCAAGGCCGAUAGCCAAAGGGUAUAGUCAGCAGGAAGGUUUGGACUACACUGAAAUAUUUUCUACUGUAGCAAAAAUGGUCACAAUAAAGUCCAUCAUUGCAAUACUUGUGUCAAAAUAUUGGUCCAUUUUCCAACGGAUGUCCACAAAGCCUUAUUGCAAGGUGAUCUAUUUGAGAAGGUCUACAUGGACAUUCUACAAGGCUUUGCUACUGAGGUUGAGACUCAUAAACUGUGCAAACUGCAAAGUCCCUUUAUGGACUUAAGCAGGCCCCUAGACAACAGAAUAAAAAGCUUAGUGACACUCUACUUCUUCUUGGUUUCUCCCAAAGUCAUUUUGAUUAUUUUCUCUUUACUAAACACGUUGGACCAGAGUUAGUGGUGGUGUUGUUUUAUGUUGAUGAUCUAUUGGUUACAAGCAGCAGUCCCUCUCUGAUUCUACAAACUACGAAUGACUUAAAACUUAAGUUGAAGAUGAAAGACUUGGGUGAACUUAAGUUCUUUCUUGGCAUUUAAUUUUCCGGAUCAAGGAAGGGGAUGGUGAUGUGUCAAAAGAAGUAUGCCCUGGAGUUUAUAGCUAAAAUGAGGCUCAGUGGUUCUAAACCUGCUAGUUCUCCCCUACACUCUUCUAUCAAGCUCACUUCUGUUGAGUAUGACUCUUUCAUUCAUAAGGAGAAUCCAGACUAUCAUAUAAAUGAUCGUUUAUUACCAGAUAUCAGUAUCACAGGCUAGUGGAAAGAUAUUACUAUAUCUCACUAUGACAAGGAUGGAUAUUGCUUUUGUGGUACAAGUCUUGAGUCAAUUUAUGCACAAACCAAAACACUCUCAUAUGGAAGAUCCUUUGAGGGUUGUCAGGUACAUCAAAGGGGCACCGGGACUCGGCCUACUAACGCCAGCUAAAUCAUCUAGUACUUUGGAGGCUUUCUGUGACUCAUAUUGGGCAGGAUGUCUUCAAACCAGAAAAUCAAUUACAGGUUCCCUAGUUAAGAUAUAGGUGCCUUGAUUUCAUAGAACUCAAAAAAGCAAGACGCCAUCUCUAGAAGUUCAGCUGAGGCAGAAUUUAGAAGUAUGACAUCAGUGUAGCUGAAUUGACAUGGCUGGCAUGGUUGUUUAAAGAGCUUGGGAUAAGUAUUCAUCAGCCAAUACAUCUUCAAAUAGCUUCAUGAAAGGACUAAACUCAUAGGCAUAGACUGCCAUUUUGUGAGAGACAAGACAGUGCAGGGUAUGAUUAAAACUCAGCAUGUUCCAACUAAAGAACAAAUUGCAGAUCUACACACUAAGAGCAUUGGAAAGCGACAACUCGUUAUCUUUUUUCCAAGCUGGGAUUGAAAGAUAUAUUUCAACCAUCAGCUCAAUGAAGGGUAUUAAAUAAUAGUUUGUUAUUAAUUUGUUAGUCAGUUAGUUAUUCUAUGUGAAGAGUCAGAGUAGUUAGUUACAAGCUACAACCGUCAUAAAUUAUAAGAGAAGUAAGUAGUUGGCACCAACAGUAGGUAUAUAUAGGACCUGGUAUUGAUACAUUCAUGUACAAUUGAUCAAUGGGAACCACAAUCUUUUUUUAUCUGA